GACGAACGCUGGCGGCGUGCCUAAUACAUGCAAGUUGAGCGCUGAAGGUUGGUACUUGUACCAACUGGAUGAGCAGCGAACGGGUGAGUAACGCGUGGGGAAUCUGCCUUUGAGCGGGGGACAACAUUUGGAAACGAAUGCUAAUACCGCAUAAAAACUUUAAACACAAGUUUUAAGUUUGAAAGAUGCAAUUGCAUCACUCAAAGAUGAUCCCGCGUUGUAUUAGCUAGUUGGUGAGGUAAAGGCUCACCAAGGCGAUGAUACAUAGCCGACCUGAGAGGGUGAUCGGUCACAUUGGGACUGAGACACGGCCCAAACUCCUACGGGAGGCAGCAGUAGGGAAUCUUCGGCAAUGGACGAAAGUCUGACCGAGCAACGCCGCGUGAGUGAAGAAGGUUGUCGGAUCGUAAAACUCUGUUGGUAGAGAAGAACGUUGGUGAGAGUGGAAAGCUCAUCAAGUGACGGUAACUACACAGAAAGGGACGGCUAACUACGUG
rnacentral:rRNA from 1 species